rnacentral:lncRNA from 1 species
AUAUAAUAUAGGGCAAAUCUCCAAAAUAGCACCUUUCUAAAUUUAUAUCACAAAAAUAGCACUCAAAAAUAAAAAUGACCAAAAUAGCACAUUUCUAAGUUUAUCCUUUGAAAAUUUUAAUUUUUUUAUUUUUCAAAAUUUGAAAUCUUAUCCCCAAAACCUCAUUUCUCAACUCUAAACCCUAAAACCUAAACUCUAAACCCUAAACCCUAAAA